rnacentral:rRNA from 1 species
GCCAGAGGGGGCAAGCGUUGUUCGGAAUUACUGGGCGUAAAGGGCUCGUAGGCGGCCAACUAAGUCAGACGUGAAAUCCCUCGGCUUAACCGGGGAACUGCGUCUGAUACUGGAUGGCUUGAGGUUGGGAGAGGGAUGCGGAAUUCCAGGUGUAGCGGUGAAAUGCGUAGAUAUCUGGAGGAACACCGGUGGCGAAGGCGGCAUCCUGGACCAAUUCUGACGCUGAGGAGCGAAAGCCAGGGGAGCAAACGGG